rnacentral:rRNA from 1 species
UACAGAGGGUGCGAGCGUUAAUCGGAAUUACUGGGCGUAAAGCGUGCGUAGACGGUAGCGUAAGUCAGAUGUGAAAGCCCCGGGCUCAACCUGGGAACUGCAUUUGAGACUGCUCUGCUCGGGUGCGGAAGAGGGAAGCGGAAUUUCCGGUGUAGCGGUGAAAUGCGUAGAUAUCGGAAGGAACACCAGUGGCGAAAAGCGGCUUCCUGGUCCGACACCGACGUUCAGGCACGAAAGCGUGGGGAGCGAACAGG